rnacentral:rRNA from 1 species
GACGAACGCUGGCGGCGUGCUUAACACAUGCAAGUCGAACGGAAAGGCCCUGCUUGCAGGGUACUCGAGUGGCAAACGGGUGAGUAACACGUGGGUGAUCUGCCCUGCACUUCGGGAUAAGCCUGGGAAACUGGGUCUAAUACCGGAUAGGAGCCAUUUUUAGUGUGAUGGUUGGAAAGUUUUUUCGGUGUAGGAUGAGCUCGCGGCCUAUCAGCUUGUUGGUGGGGUAAUGGCCUACCAAGGCGGCGACGGGUAGCCGGCCUGAGAGGGUGGACGGCCACAUUGGGACUGAGAUACGGCCCAGACUCCUACGGGAGGCAGCAGUGGGGAAUAUUGCACAAUGGGCGCAAGCCUGAUGCAGCGACGCCGCGUGGGGGAUGACGGCCUUCGGGUUGUAAACUCCUUUCGCUAGGGACGAAGCUUUUUGUGACGGUACCUAGAGAAGAAGCACCGGCUAACUACGUG